rnacentral:lncRNA from 1 species
UUACCUCGUUCAUUCCAUUCCCUCAUUCAUUCCAUUACCACAUACCAAACAGACCCUAUGUUGAAAAGGGUUGGCAAUGGUUAGACACUUGGUGAAGUGGUAAACUUUUUUUAAAAAAAAGGUGUGAUUGGUUAAAGAUGGCAUGGACCCCACUACCGACGGAGCUUAAAUGAGUUCUUGUUAACAUUUUUUGAAAAACAAAAUUCAUCUAUAAUGCCGACACGAAAAAUUAAUAUGUUUGAAAUAUAACUGCUAGCUAUAUUUGACUAAUAUAGUAAGAUGAUAGCUAGAUAGUAGAGGUGAGGGUCCAUGAAUGACACUACAAGAAAUUUUGUCUGACAAGGGGUCGGAAACGUAUAUACCCAAAAAUUUGUAUACGAAAUACAUACUCUCCACUACUGAACGAAAAGUUAAAUGUGUUUAA